AACGAUCGCUGCUGCUCUACGCACGUUUGUUAGAGCAGGGGAGGAAAGUCCGGACUCCAGGGGGCAGUGUGCCGGGUAACGCCCGGGAUCGGCGCUUCAAGGCGACGAGACGGCCAGUGCCACAGAGAAAAUACCGCCGCAGCGCAAGCUGCGGUAAGGGUGAAAAGGUGCGGUAAGAGCGCACCGCGCCGGCAGUAAUGCAGGCGGCAUGGUAAACCCCACACGGAGCAAGACCAAAUAGGCGGGAAGACUGCCUCUGCGCAAGCAGAAGCACGAUGCGUGCCGGCC
rnacentral:RNase_P_RNA from 1 species